UCAAGUGAUCCUCCCACUUCAGCCUCCCAGAGUCCUAGAAUUACAGGAAUUGUAUCUAUUUUUUAUUACAUGGAAUGGUGUUAACUGAAAAAGGCAGGAUACAACACAAUUAUAAAAUAUCCCACUUAUAUAAAUGCAAUAUCCACCCCAGGUAUAAAAAUAAGGCUGAAAGAAUACAUAAAAUAUCUCCAGGUAUUUACAGAGAUGAGAAAAAAAGAGAAUACACAAAAUAUACAUUUGAAUAUAGAAUUUAUUUUUCUCUUAAACAGAUGACCCCAUAGAAAGUUUCCGUUAUGGGAUUCUGGGUGACUCAUUUUCGUUUUUUUUUUUUUUGAGAUGUACUUUCCAUCUUGUUACCCAGGCUGGAGUGCAAUGGCGCGAUCUCCGCUCACUGAAACUUCCGCCUCCCAGGUUCAAGCGAUUCUCCUGCCUCAGUCUCCUAAGUAGCUGGAAUUACAGGCGCAUGCCACCAUGCCCUGCUCAUUUUUUUGUAUUUUUAGCAGAGACAGGUUUUCACCAUGUUGGUCAGGCUUGUCUUACACUCCUGACCUCAGGUGAUCAGCCCGCCUUGGCCUCCCAAAGUGCUGGGAUUACAGGCGUGAGCCACCGUGCUCGGCCUUCUCUUUCAUUUUCUAAGUUUUUUACUUUCCUAUAUUUAUUAGGAAAUUUAAAAAUAAUCUUAAGGAUGACUGCCACAUGCCAGCCAUAAUGGAGGAUGGUCUUUCUUCUACCCUAGACAUUUCACACUGAACAGGCCUCACUUGGAUCUCGGACAUCUUCCUUUCUGCACUGUGCAGAUCCCCUCAGUAUAUGCAGAGAACAGAAAAUCAUUUUGCUGCCAGUGGAAGGUAGACAGAAGCUACGUUUAUUGGGGAAGAAAAUACCCUUGCUGUCAAACCAUGGCCUGAAAAUAAAGGCCUUGGAUUACUCCCACCCAUCUCCACUCCAUGGGUGCAGAGAAUGCUGAGGGUGCUUGCAUACGAGACCAUAAAGUUGUAAAGGAUGCCUUCCAGCCCCCAUUUGGUUUGUUAUGGUGAGAGCUGGGGCCUCUGUGAGUGGCAAGCAUCAAAACCCACGACCACAGCCGUUGGUACUGCUUUCAAAAGCAUAGCACCCACCCUAAUGCCCUGAUAAAGGAUUUGUCCAGUAGCCUGGGCGUCAGGAUUCCUGGGCUCUAGGCCCCACAGGUGAUUCACAGCUAGCCCCAGGCUGUGCCUCCUGGCCUCAGUUUUCCUGGCUUGCUCUAUUGGUACUUCCUACCUACUCUGUGGGGUGUUAAUAGGGGUGAGGUGCUUUGAACUUCUCAGAUGAAAGAGGCUGGGAAGCAGCACCCAGUUAUUAUCCCCUUUACAGCCAGGCGUGGGAGCUGAGGUUGCUUUCAUACUGUUCCAGCCACAGUAGCCUCCUCAUAGCCCCUCAUUCAUCUGCCUUUGGCUCUGGCUGCCACAACCAGAAAGCAAAGCAGUCAGUCCUAUUUCAAUGCUGUUUCAGAACAGAUGUCCCUAAAUUAAUUUGCCAACUGCCCAAACCACUGGUGAACUAUCUAUGAUUCAGUAAUACUUUACAGGUGCCUAAUUUCUUUCUCCUGAUUGGCUGCAAAACCUGUGGGACAAGGGCUGUGACUUCUCACCAAUAAAUAUACCAAAGGAGGGAUACUCGCAAUUUAGUCAGCAAAAUGGGUUAUGAGAAAGCCAGGCUGACCAAAGUUCAAACUUCUCAUCUUUCUGCUUCCUCACUGUAACACGGGCAAUGGCUUAUUAAUUCUCCCCAUCCUGUCUAUCUCUAAUGAGGAUUGUGUGUGUGGAAGCACUCUAAAAUACCAAGCACUUCAUAUGUGUUAAUAAGUCCAAAUGUGGCCGGGUGCAGUGGCUCACGCCUGUAAUCCCAGCACUUUGGGAGGCCAAGGCGGGUAAAUCAUGAGGUCAGUAGUUCAAGACCAGCCUGAACAACAUGGUGAAACCCCGUCUUUACUAAAAAUACAAAAAUUAGCCGGGCAUGUGGUAGGCGCUGGACUCCAGCCUGGGCGACAGAGAGAGACUUUGUCUCCAAAAAAAGAAAGUCCAAAUACAUGCAAAUAAAACUUGGCAUAACAGUCUUGCCCAAGCCAUCAGUCCUGCCCCUUCUGCCACCAGGUUACAACUGCAAAAAAUUAGGUUGGGGUGCCACCUACUGGUUGAAAAAUAUAUGAACUGCAUCCAGCCAGUUGCAAGAGCAAAGAAAAAACUUCCAAGCCCUCUUGAUUUUUGCCACACUCUCAUAGGAACUGCCAUAUUAUAUAAUUAAUAUUUUUCUUUACACAACUUACUAUUUUUUUUUGAGACAGAGUCUUGCUCUGUCGCCCAGGUUGGAAUGUAGGCACAAUCUUGGCUCACUGCAACCUCCGCCUCCUGGGUUCAAGCAAUUCUUCUGCCUCAGCCUCCCCAAUAGCUGGGAUUAUAGGCGUGCAACACCAUGCCCAGCUAAUUUUUAUGUUUUUAGUAGAGAGGGGUUUCACCAUGUUGGCCAGGCUGGUCUCGAACUCCUGACCUCAGGUGAUCCGCCCGCCUCAGCCUCCCAAAGUGCUGGGCUUACAGGCAUGAGUGAACACGCCCAGCCUUGUAUUUCAUUUUUGAAGUACACCUUUUUUUUGAGACAAAGUCUCGCUCUGUCACCAGGCUGGAGUGCAGUGGUGCAAUCUCAGCUCACUGUAACCUCUGACUCCUGGGUUCAAAUGAUUCUCCUGCCUCAGCCUCCCAAGUAGCUGGAACUACAGGUACGCGCCACCUAUGCCCAGCUAAUUAAAAAAAUUUUUUGGUAGAGAUGGGGUUUCACCAUGUUGGCCAGGAUGGUCUCGAUCUCUUGACCUUGGGAUCCGCCUGCCUCGGCCUCCCAAAGUGCUGGGAUUACAGGCGUGAGCCACCGCACCCAGCCUUGAAGUAAACUUUUAACCACUACUGUAAAUGGAAAACUAGUUAACACUUGUCAACAAUAGAAUAAAACCAUAAAACAAAUACAGUGAAUAUAAAACAUUAACAAAGUUCUAGUUAGGAAGUGUUGCCUGUGAAAGCUGAAGCUUGAGGCUCUGUUAAAACUGAAAAUUGUGGGACAUGGUGGCUCACACCUGUAGUCCCAGUUACUCAGGCGUCUGAGGCGGGAAGAUCACAUGAGCCCAGGAGUUUGAGUCCAGCCUGGGCCAUAUAGCAAGACCCCAUCUUUUAAAAAACAAACCUCAGAACCAAAAACUGAAGAUUAAUAAAAACACAUGACUGGAGACUGAAUGUAAAUCCUAUGUGACUGAAUGUGAAUUAUAUGCUUUGGGGAAAUACUGAUUAUUCCAAGGCUAGGUGACACUCCCUCAUUCUUCCCCAAACCCCUGGGCCCGGAAGACUGAAGAAAAGUUUGGAAGUCACAAAAA
rnacentral:lncRNA from 10 species